rnacentral:lncRNA from 1 species
AUUGGCGGCCACAAAGCGAUCGCCAGGAAGCGCUCGAAAGUCGUUUCAAACACAACCCGAAGCUUUCGUCGCUGCGCGGAGCGCGGGCGCAAACUUUUGCCCCGGUGUUGGGAAAGGACAGGGGCUCGCUCUCGAUGAAACUGCAUAUUAGAGAAACCCUUCAAACACUGAGGAGUUAAUCUUCACAACUCUUGGCAGCAGCUUCUGGUACUCCCAUGUAGUAUUUGUGUCUAUUUACUUUAGUGGAUCAGUGCCUUGAAGGGACCAGCCUUCACUACCAGAAUAUGGUGACUGAGGAGUUCUGGAAGUUGUCUGAAAAGGUAACUACAGUGUUCAAAACUCUAUGAAGAUGUUUUGUAGGAAGAAAACCACAUUGCGUAAUGUAAUAAACGUUGUCAUCUAAGGCA